rnacentral:rRNA from 1 species
AAAUUGAAGAGUUUGAUCAUGGCUCAGAUUGAACGCUGGCGGCAGGCCUAACACAUGCAAGUCGAACGGUAACAGGAAACAGCUUGCUGUUUCGCUGACGAGUGGCGGACGGGUGAGUAAUGUCUGGGAAACUGCCUGAUGGAGGGGGAUAACUACUGGAAACGGUAGCUAAUACCGCAUAACGUCGCAAGACCAAAGAGGGGGACCUUCGGGCCUCUUGCCAUCGGAUGUGCCCAGAUGGGAUUAGCUAGUAGGUGGGGUAACGGCUCACCUAGGCGACGAUCCCUAGCUGGUCUGAGAGGAUGACCAGCCACACUGGAACUGAGACACGGUCCAGACUCCUACGGGAGGCAGCAGUGGGGAAUAUUGCACAAUGGGCGCAAGCCUGAUGCAGCCAUGCCGCGUGUAUGAAGAAGGCCUUCGGGUUGUAAAGUACUUUCAGCGGGGAGGAAGGGAGUAAAGUUAAUACCUUUGCUCAUUGACGUUACCCGCAGAAGAAGCACCGGCUAACUCCGUGCCAGCAGCCGCGGUAAUACGGAGGGUGCAAGCGUUAAUCGGAAUUACUGGGCGUAAAGCGCACGCAGGCGGUUUGUUAAGUCAGAUGUGAAAUCCCCGGGCUCAACCUGGGAACUGCAUCUGAUACUGGCAAGCUUGAGUCUCGUAGAGGGGGGUAGAAUUCCAGGUGUAGCGGUGAAAUGCGUAGAGAUCUGGAGGAAUACCGGUGGCGAAGGCAGCCCCCUGGACGAAGACUGACGCUCAGGUGCGAAAGCGUGGGGAGCAAACAGGAUUAGAUACCCUGGUAGUCCACGCCGUAAACGAUGUCGACUUGGAGGUUGUGCCCUUGAGGCGUGGCUUCCGGAGCUAACGCGUUAAGUCGACCGCCUGGGGAGUACGGCCGCAAGGUUAAAACUCAAAUGAAUUGACGGGGGCCCGCACAAGCGGUGGAGCAUGUGGUUUAAUUCGAUGCAACGCGAAGAACCUUACCUGGUCUUGACAUCCACAGAACUUUCCAGAGAUGGAUUGGUGCCUUCGGGAACUGUGAGACAGGUGCUGCAUGGCUGUCGUCAGCUCGUGUUGUGAAAUGUUGGGUUAAGUCCCGCAACGAGCGCAACCCUUAUCCUUUGUUGCCAGCGGUCCGGCCGGGAACUCAAAGGAGACUGCCAGUGAUAAACUGGAGGAAGGUGGGGAUGACGUCAAGUCAUCAUGGCCCUUACGACCAGGGCUACACACGUGCUACAAUGGCGCAUACAAAGAGAAGCGACCUCGCGAGAGUAAGCGGACCUCAUAAAGUGCGUCGUAGUCCGGAUUGGAGUCUGCAACUCGACUCCAUGAAGUCGGAAUCGCUAGUAAUCGUGGAUCAGAAUGCCACGGUGAAUACGUUCCCGGGCCUUGUACACACCGCCCGUCACACCAUGGGAGUGGGUUGCAAAAGAAGUAGGUAGCUUAACCUUCGGGAGGGCGCUUACCACUUUGUGAUUCAUGACUGGGGUGAAGUCGUAACAAGGUAACCGUAGGGGAACCUGCGGUUGGAUCACCUCCUUACCUUAAAGAAGC